AUGAAUGAUCUCCAUUUCAAGUAUUAAGACUGCAACGAAAAUACAGUCCUUCAUCUCAUUAGGGUAUAAAAUAUAUACAGAAGAAGAAAUAUAUGAUAAUUUGAAGAUUGAGAAGACAAUUUUAACUAGGAAAAUACAGACAAGUCUCUCACUGAAAAUGAAAUUUAAGUUAAGCCUUGGGGAUAUCUAAGUAUUCUGAGAGGUAGAAUAUAAGAGAGGUCAUUCAAAGUAAAGGGCAUGGAGAAGAAAAUGGAGGAGCAGGGGGAGAAGGAGGAGGGGAAGAAGAAGAGAAGGAGGAGGAAGAGAAGAGGAAGAAGAGGAAGAAGAAAAAGAAGUAAAAGAGGAAGAAAAAUGAAGAAAGAAAAAAUAGAGGAAGUCAGGAAAAGAUGCAACAUUUCUGUUGUUUCAGCAUGGUUCAAAUACAUAGAAAAAAAUGAAAAACAUCCUUCAAAAUUACAUAAUGAACUAUUGAAAGCAGAACCCAAGUGA
rnacentral:lncRNA from 1 species